GGGCGAUGGGCUCUCCAACCUAGUACCAUGGCCCAGUUUGUCCGUAACCUCGCGGAGAAGGCCCCGGCGCUGGUCAACGCUGCUGUGACUUACUCGAAGCCUCGAUUGGCCACGUUUUGGUACUAUGCCAAGGUUGAGCUGGUUCCUCCAACCCCUGCUGAGAUCCCUACAGCAAUUCAGAGCUUGAAAAAAAUUAUCAACAGUGCUAAAACCGGUAGCUUCAAACAGCUCACUGUUAAGGAAGCUCUACUGAAUGGUUUGGUGGCCACUGAGGUGUGGAUGUGGUUUUAUGUUGGCAAGAUCAUAGGCAAGCGUGGCAUCAUUGGCUAUGAUGUUUGAAGACCAAUUUUUAACAUGUGAUUAUAUCUGCUUUAUUAUUCAAGUGUUCUUGGACCAUGUGUGAACAGACUGCUCUUUGAAUAAAAUAAGACAAUGUGUCAGAAUCAGUGUUUUCUCUAUCAAACACUACAUGGAAGGUCACAAUUUCUCUUGAUAUUAAGUUGGAUUGUCUUUUGCUUCAAUAUAUUAAUACAGCUCUAAAUGCAUGCCUUUGCUUAGCCUGCAAUUUGGAAAAUAUAUAUAUGAGUAUACCAACCUGGUACCUGUAUAAAUGAGGUUAACUUUAUUUUGAAGGCUUGAAACAAAUGAUGUUUAAGCUUUAUUUCUAGAAAAGCUGGGGGAAAGGCUUUGAGAAAAUGAGAACUUGCUCCAGUAGGAGAAAUAAUAAUACCAUGUGCUAAGUAUGAUACAGUUAAAUCACGUAGCAUUAAGAAUACAAUUUGGACUGUUUUUCUUCGCAAAAAUCAGAGAAAGAUCCCUUUGACAACACCUUUUUGUCAGUUUGAAUAUAGCCUCCC